UUCGGACCUGGAUUGGCCAAAAAGUGCAUGGGUUGGUGGUGCUGCCCCUUUUAACAGCGGCCUGCCAAAGCCUGGCAUCAGUCCGCCACAUGGCAGAGACCACAGAAGCCUGCAUCACUGCCUACUUCAAGGAAAUGUCUAAACAGUGAACAGACUGUGAAGAACGAGAUGAAAGUGCUCCUCAUCCUCAGCACUGGCCGCCUUCCUGUCAGUUCAGGUGCCUGCAGAAGACCAGAUUCGUCUGAAGCCCAGCUCUGAAUUACAUCUCACUCCGAAAGCUCAGCAGGUGCUGGCAGCUCUUGAGUCCAUGACGCUGAGUAAGCAGUAUGUGGAGUACCAGGACCAGAUACUGCAUGCUGUCCAGUUUAUAAGACAUCCUGGCCACUGCCUUCAGAACGGGAAAAGCUUCCUGGCCUUUUUUGUUAACCGUCUCUACCCAGAAGUGCAUUAUCUGGACAACAUCCGGUAGUGG
rnacentral:lncRNA from 1 species